rnacentral:lncRNA from 1 species
AAUAAUCCUAACAAACCAUGGUAGUUUACUGUAGGCUUCGUCAUUCUAUAAUGAUUGAGAAAUGGUAGGUAGAAUUUCGAUAGCGAAUUGAGGAUAGCAUCUUUGCCUAACUAUUUAUGCAAUGGAAAGUCAAGUUUGCUAAGGCGUUUAAUCUACUCAAUCAUGUAUAUUAUAUGAUCGGUACUGAAGCUUCCUCUCACAUACGGGCAUUGAACACUGCACAAG